GACUUUGGGGCCCUCUGGACUCCACGGCGCCCCCCAGGCGCUCCAGUGUUUGCGUGUCUCAAAGCAUCAGCGCCCCCAUGCGCUAGUCCCCAGGGAUCUCGGAAUCCAGGAUGUUCGGCCCAAACGUGCGCUGAGCCAUCCCCGCUCGUCCUUUGCCUUUUGUGACUGAACUCAACGUUGGCCUCAGUCUAGGCAGAAAUGGGCCGGAUGUCCAAGAAGUAGUUGCCUCCUUAGCAUCAGUCCUGGGAGAGGAGGCCUGAAAUAAACCGGAUGCCUUCUAUCUUGGGACCUCUAAAGGGUGCACCAGACCCUGGAAGGACAAGGAGAGUUCCUUUGUUCAGGAGCCUCUAUGCUUACUGGGAUCUAGGAGCAACCCUCUUCGGGGAACAGGUCAGACAUGCCCUGAUUUAAUUCUCAUCUAGGAAGCAGCCAUCAUUGUCCACACUUUUUUAGAAGAGGAAAACUCAGGCUACAGAGUUUGUACCCCAUGCCCGAAGACUACAUAACUCACAGGUAGUAGAAGCAAAGUUUGGAUUUGGUGGCCUCCCCUUUAACCCCUGCUGCACUCUGGGAGGGUGGCUGAGCUUAACACCCUUCAUUCCCUGACCCUGGCAUGAUAAAGUUGGUGUGUUCUGACACUUUGGAGGACACCUGCCUCCUGCCUGUCCCUUCCAGGGGCCUCUCCUCAAAGGUCCCUCAGACGUGAGUUCACAACCUCCCCUCUUGAUGGAAGUGGCUGAGGAACAAAUGGGAAAUGUCCUCUCAACUGACUGCCCAGCCAGUGGCCACCCACCCAGCCGCCCCCAGAUGCCUAUUGCCUUGUCACCAUUUGGCCAGUGUGAAAGGAACAGCUGCAGCUGGUCUGGUUUCCCAAGCUGCCCUCUGCUCGCCUCCUCUCUGACCCCAGCCUCUCCUCAACUCCCAUGGACCAACAGCCAUGCUGGGCUACUCAGGUACCCAGGUCCUCCUGCCAGAUGUGGACAGCUUGGUCUUGGCCUCUGCCCUUGCAAAGCGGGUCUGGACAUCUCCCCUGGAGGGGGAGAGGAAGGGUUAAUUACAGGUGUUGGGAUUAAUUAAAGCCUUUGAUCAAGAUGAUGAGAGGGGAGCCUUGGGCUUCCGAGAGUGUGUGUGUGAGUGUCCAUGAGAGGAGCGAUUGUGUUUGAGUGUGGAUGUGUAUAGGUGUAAGUACUGAUAUGUGUGUGUGUGUGUAGACGUGUUGGUGUGUAUGCAUUUGUAAGCGUAGACGCAAGUGUUGAUUUAUAAGUGUGUGUGAGAGUAUGUGGUCAUGAGAGGAAAUGUAUGUGUGUGUGAGUGUGUAAAGUUGUGUUUGACUGCGGGUGUGCAUGUGGAUAUGGGUGCUGAUGUACGUAUCGUGUGAGAGGGUUUGUUCUAAAUGUGUUGUGUGAGUGUGUCAUGCACACAAUGAUUGAGUACUCAGGCUUGGAAAGGCUAUCUCUGCUCUCUGAGCCUCAGUCUGCUCUUUGGGAAGCCUAUCUGGGAGAGUGACUGUGAAGAUCAGAUAAGGU
rnacentral:lncRNA from 1 species